AUGAGCCUUGUGAGCACAUCACGGCUGCCUGCACUCACAUCCCUGUGUCCCCUGGCAGGGUGCCCUGGGAGAUCCGGGGGACGCCGGUGUCAGCGGGCUGGAUGGCGAGCAGGGACCACCGGGACCACCAGGAGCCGAGGGGCAGCCGGGGCCCAAGGGGCAGCAGGGAGAAGCAGGACCCCGCGGAGCUCCGGGCGUCAGAGGUGGCCGUGGGGAGCGAGGGGACGAGGGGCCAGCAGGACCACCGGGGGGGCCCGGGGAGCAGGGGAAGGAGGUUUGUGCUGGGGGGCUGCAGCUGCCUCGGGACAGGGAUGGGGCACGGCCGCUGCUUCAGGUGCUGAUGGUGCUUCACCCCCGGGCAGGGCGAUGUCGGUGACGCAGGAGAGCCGGGCGAGCCGGGAGCGCGGGGACACAAGGUGGGGAGCACAUCUUCUGUGCUGCCACCCGCAGCAUGCUCUGCCUCCGCCUCCCAGCUUGUCCCUGUGGGACGGGUGCAGGAAGGGGGUGUCCCCUGGACCUGUUGGGUGCCUGGGGGACGUGUCCUCGUGGGGACGCUCACUUAAUUGCUUCUUCUUUCUCCUCCUCGCCGUGACACCGCUGUUUCCAUCUCGGAGCAGGGAGAUGCUGGCCCUCGGGGCUUUCCUGGAGCGCCAGGACCAGGAGCUGCUACGGGGGAAAUUGGAGGCAAAGGCCCCAGAGGAGAGAAGGGCCAGGAAGGUUUGCUGGCAAGUACAGCGAGGGAGUAAUCCAGUGCCGUGGGGCUCCAGUGCUUCCCCCAGCUGGGUGUGGGGUGCUCAGGAACAGGGCUUGCCCCCAGCAGGAGACUUCGGGCUCUAG
rnacentral:lncRNA from 1 species